AACAUUAACUAUAGUGCUACAUGACCUUAGAUGUCUAGCACAUUUAUCUUGCUUUUAACCAUUAACCAUUCUACGAAAAUUUUGUUUGUGGAUAAGAACUUUAUCAAGAUAUUUCUGCCCGUGCUCUUCCUCAAAGCCUUUUAAAUUUCUUGUAGGCAGAAUUAUUACAAUUACUUGAAACACUACAGUAAUGAUGAGACACCAUGCACCACACAGAUGGCCAUGUUGAGAUUUAAAUACCAAUAUCUGAUGACUUAAGGCUCAUAUUUGUAAGCAAUGGAAUGUGGGUAAUUUUUAACAGGCUUGUGUAUUUUUAGGUAUGAAUGAGCACAGCAGUAGCUACUGCUAGGAAAACAAGCUUCACCUGUAUCUGCCAGGCCACACCUAUAGCUGGCAUAGCAGACUCAUGCCGGGUACGGCUAUAGGCGUUGUGAUGCACUAGAGCGCAUCGAGUGGAAAGUUCCACAUGUGGACUCCCAGGCUAAUGGCAGGAUGGUUCCCAGAACUCACUGGAGUCAGUGAUGCCGAGAGAUUUCUGAUACCAUCAUUGAGGGGUUAAGUCUACUAGUCUGACAUGCCUACGAAGGACUAAGUGGCUGUACUGGAGGUCUGGCAAGAUUACAUCAGGUUGAUGUGCAGUAGAGCUGGCAAAUGUCCAGUUGUCAAGGGCUUCUACAUAAAACCCAAGCAUUGUAAACCUUCUUACACCUGUGCAUAUUGUGCAGACUUCAGCCAUGGUAGAAAUUGCAUUGCUGUACUGCCAGUGAAAGUAACUGCUCCUGUGUACCUAGACUGACAUGCCUACUCCUGUGUACCUAGACUGACAUGCCUUCAAAUGACCAAAAUGGCUUAUACUUCAAGGCAAGUAAGGUAACAUCUAUCAGUUGAAUAAGCUGUUGAAUUGGGGAACCUCCUGUCACAGAAAGAAUGUGCACAUGGUAAAGCCAGAAGGCACUGAGCUUUCUGCUAGUUUUGGCAAGGUAUGAGCAUUGCAUUACCUAGAUGAAUUAUCACUGGUUUACUUUGACUGAGAUUCCAACAAAAAAUUGAAGGCAGUGCUGCAAGGUCACAGGAUCCAUUUAACAUGCUUUGUGGAGCCUGUAAACAACAAUGUCAAAGGGAUGCACAUGUGGCAAACCCACGACCUACUAUGAAUCUUCGUGUAGUGAUUUGGUCACUUCCCUCAUCAUUAGAAGAGCCUAAGGAGUCGGAGUGCUCUGAUAAAAGGUGUUGUUAGUUGCACCAGUCUCAUUACUGCAACUUUCAUGGAGAUUAGCAGCCUUGUAACCUGUGGAAGCAUCAUGUUGCCUAGGUCGAUGCUCUCCAUUCUCCAUAUCACUUGCUUGUAUUAUAGUUUUGAAGUAUGGCCAUCAGCCAUUCCUCAUGUAAAUCAUGGUGAGGAAUAAGAAAUUGACAAUUUAUUUUGUAUAGAUUUAUAAUAAAUAUUAUAUUGUA